CACUCAUGGCAUCAUUCACAAAUUUCAAUUAAAGCAAUGUGGUCGAUUCCCAACGGAGAACAAUUGAACGUAAAAAUCAAAUCAACUAACGGGUGAAAACAUUUUGGCAUGGAGUUGCGUGUGUUGUUUCGGGCGCUAGAAAAAAGUAUUUGAGAAUUUAAAGAAGUGCUUUUGAAAAAUAAACAAAGAAGUGUGCAACUAAUUUACUUUAAAUAUUUCAUUAAAAUAAAUGCGAUAUUUUCGCUUAUGCAAUUCUAUUUCGUUGCUUUGACCUUAAAUUGCAUAAGUGCUUUUUACCCGUUUAAGUAUUAAAUAAUUGAAAAGUAGAAUAGAGUUAAAAUAGCAUAUAGUUCAAAAUGCAUAUCCAUCCAAGUUCACCCAGUUCUGAUUUUGACCAACCAAUACAAAAAGAAGAAAACGCAGCCAUCAAAAUACAAGCCGGAUUUCGUGGAUAUCGCGUAAGAAAGCAGGUGCAAAAUCAACCUAGACCUAAUGCACCAAAUUACUGUGAACAGCAAAGGCAACAGCAUAAUUCGGAGCCAUUGCAUUUAAAUAUAGGGAAUAGGACAACACCUCAAAAUAUUAACGCAGCUACAAAUUCAAAAGGUUCUAUUUUUGAAGUGGAAAGCUCUACAAAGGAAGACCAAUGCGCUACAAAAAUUCAAGCUGGUGUACGGGGUUUUUUGGUGCGUAAGAAACAGAAAAUUGCUAUGGAUGCGGCAACAAAAAUACAAGCAAGUUUCAGAGGCUUCAAAGCGCGGAAAGAGGCACACAACAUGAAACAAAAAUAAAAAAUAAUAAUAAUCUUCUAUGCCCGUUGAACACAUUCUUUAAAUUUUAAAAUAAUUAAUUUAAUUUGCAAAUUAUAAUGAAAAAUAUUCGAUUGUUACUCCACCGCAUACUAAAUAGGAGUUUUUAUAUUCAAUGAUGAACAAACUAAACGGAAAUGAGAGAGUUAUCAGCACUCACUGCUUAAGAUUUUUGUAUGAUUUACAGUAUACAAAUGUACAUAUAAACAUAGUGAGUUAAAAAUAACUACGAAACUUCAAGUGUGCGAAAAUCAGUCAUCGGGAGUUCUUUUUAUUAUUAUUCAAAGAAUUAAAUACAAAUUUGUUACAUACAACACAGUGCUUGUUUUAUGUUAGCGUUUUUUAGACUUGUUUAAAAUAAAUUUCCUUUCGCGUAAGUGUUUUCUCUUGUGGCUAAUAACGUCAGCAAAAGUUGUUAUUGCGUUAUUUCAAUUUUAUGGACUACGUUGGAAUUAGACAAUUCCAGGAGUACCGCUUGGCUGUCUAUGUAUAUGAUUGCUGUCUGUGUCCUUUCGUAGAAUAGAGCUUCACAUGGUUUCUCUAUGCCCAGUACUUCAGCUGAGUUUGGUAGAUGGAUAGGUAGGGAGAUGUCAAGAUCAUUGGAAUAAACCCACGUGCCAGCUCCGCAGUCCAUUUUGGACCCGCCAAGAUGAUAUCUUACUAAGCCUCUUCUCCAUUCGCGUAUAGAGGGUAAUUUUGCCCGACUUUCGAGAAUGUAGUAUGCUUUCGGUUCAAACCUCCUAACUCCUUAAUUUUUAUUGCAGAACACGCUGCUAUUUUCCAAAAGUUGAUGACUAUGGGUAAUUGAUGCAGAGUACAUUAAGCGCAUCGGAAAUGACUUGCUAGCACCUUUAACUUCAUUCUAGCCAUUUCUAGCCAGCAAACCAGUGUUAAAUACGUUCCGUGUACCUCAGAGUAAAGAAAUUAUAUGUGCAUGACUUCAAACUAUUAAAAAAUUAAAAUAAAAGGCAUAGCGAAGUUUUGGUUAUUGUUUAUUUAUUUGUAUUCAUAGUUAGAUCACAGCAAAAAUAAACUGAAAUUCCUUUAGAAUAUGCGAAAAAAAUAAGAAGUAACAAGUAAGGAAAGGCUAAGUUCGGGUGCAAUCGAACAUAUUAUACUUAAUUUAUAGAUAUACUUUUAUUAAGAUAUCACACAAUUUGUCCCAUAUAUUCGGCAUAAAGUUCAAUAGAAUAAAGAAAAUCAUCAUAUAUAGUGUAUGAGGGCUGAGGUAAUUCCUGAACCGAUUUCACUUAUUUUCACCACCAACGUACACUAUAUCCAGGACUAUACGAUCACUUCAUUAUAUUAACCUAUAUAUGCGGAAUAAAGCCCACCGCGAUUUUGAAAAACCUAUAAAUAGGUAUAUUGGUGCUAGAGGAAGUUGUGACCCGAUUUUAAUAAUUUUUGGUACAGAGACACAUAAUUAGAAGAAAAAGAUUAGAUUCCCUCUGAAUUAAAUUAAAAUAUCUGAGAGAUUUAUCAAUGUUUUCGGUGAAAAAUUACCCAAAGGCGCUGAGUUCUUCAUAUUCGAUAUAACGUGCAUUGAAAAGUUAUUGUCCGAUUUCGACAAUUUCACAAGUGAUGCCACGGGUCAUAUACAAUAUUUUUGUAAAGUUUAAUUUCCCUAUGAUCAUUGGUUCCUUAUGUAUACAUUAUAAAGCGAAUAAAUCAGAUGGAAUUUAAAAUUGAGUUAAAUGGAAAGUAGUCGUGGUUGUGAACCGAUUUCGGACAUUUUUUGUCCGCGUUAUCAGGGUGUCAAGAAAGUUAUAUGUACCGAAUUUCAUUUGAAUCGGUCGAGUAGUUCCAGAGAUAUGGUUUUUGAACCAUAAGUAGGCAACGCCACGCCCAUUUUCCAUUUUGUAAAAAAAUCUAAGUGAAGCUUCCUUCUGUAAUUUCUUCUGUAAAAUUUAGUGUUUCUGACGUUUUCCGUUUGGUUAUUUUCAACCCAACCUUUGUUUGGGAGGUGGGCGUGGUUAUUAUCCGAUUUCAACUAUUUUCAUGGUGAGUGGCGGGGUACGUAAGGGAACCGACUUCAGAAUGUUUGGUUUAUAUAGCUUUAUUGGUUUGCGAGAUAUGUACAAAAAACCUAUUUGUGAGAGGAGCCAGGCCCUCUUUCCCAAAAAAAUUACACCCAAAUAUGUCUCUCCCUAAUGUGAUCCUCUGUACCAAAUUUUAGGUAGGUAGGUUUUCGGUUUUCGCCAUUUUGUGGGCGUGGCAGUGGAGCGAUUUCGGCCCAAGGAACAUGUGUACCAAGUUUCGUCAAGAUAUCUUAAUUUUUACUCAAGGUAUCCCUUGCACGAACAGACGGGUGGACGGACGGACAGGCAGACAUCCGAAUUUUGACUCGUCUCGUCACCCUGAUAACAUAUAUCUAAUUCGUUUAGUUUUAUGAUUUACAAACAACCGUUAUGUGAACAAAACUAUAAUACUCUCUUAGCAACUUUUGUUGCUAGAGUAUAAAAAUAUGGUUCAUAGAAAAUAUUUAUAUGUGCAUGUUAAAAAAUUGUUAUGCCCGGUUUCACAGUCAGUGCUUAGGUUGUGCUUAAGAUAAAACAGAAGUAUUGCGUUUUACAGUUCAUACUUAAGUUCUGCUUAAGUACUGAAAAUGGGAGACUUAAGCAGUGCUUAAGUAACAGCUGAUUUUUGUUUUGAAUAUUGACUUAUUUGUCAAAAAAAUAAAAUAAAAAUUAUUUGCUGAAACAAUUUUUGGAAUUUCAGCAUUCAAUGACGGUUAUAUGCUUUCCUGCGAGUUGCAAUAGGUGCCCCCACUCGCUUGCGGUGAAAUUCGGUGUCCUUUUAUUGUUUCCAUCCAUUUCCCAGAUUCUAAAUUUAUUCGUCGCAGUUAUUUUUCAUCAACAAUAAUUUCAAUUUGUCAGAUGGUAUUUGUAAACAAAUGUUUUUCAUUGUGUUGCCAUAUAUCAUAAUAGAAUUUUAUAGAAAAUAAGCAUCGACUGUGAAACGCAAAUGACUACUCAGUCAACAACAAUGCUUAGCUAAGAUUUUAUUUGGGCACAACUUAAGUACGAACUGUGAAACCGGGCAUUAGUUUUUCAAAUAUUUUGAUGAAUUAAGGUUGUCAGUUAUUAAUAAGCUUUUUUUAUGAAUUUCGACUUGAUUUAGACGUGAUGGCAUUGAAUCAAACAAACAUUUUAGCGUGGUCAUGCUGAUUUAAAUAUAUUUUCGCUGUAUUGCCAUUUUUAAUCUUUUGCGGUAUUAUAUUGGUGUCCAUUUAAACUAACCUUAGCGGAUAAACUUCCUCACAGAUCGACAAUAGGGCUCAAAUCCGGAUUUUUUGCUAGCCAGUCCAAUUUUUUCCAUUUUUUUUAAACGUUUUAGUAUGAGUUGCAUUGUGAAUUGGAGCAUUGUCUUGCUGGAAAGUCCAAUUAUCCCCAUAAAUUUCUCCUGGAAAUUGAAGUAAUA